rnacentral:rRNA from 1 species
GACGAACGCUGGCGGCGGGCUUAACACAUGCAAGUCGAACGGAAAGGCCCUGCUUGUGUGGGGUGCUCGAGGGGCGAACGGGUGAGUAACACGUGAGUAACCUGCCCUUGACUUUGGGAUAACUUCAGGAAACUGGGGCUAAUACCGGAUAGGAGCUCCUGCUGCAUGGUGGGGGUUGGAAAGUUUCGGCGGUUGGGGAUGGACUCGCGGCUUAUCAGCUUGUUGGUGGGGUAGUGGCUUACCAAGGCUUUGACGGGUAGCCGGCCUGAGAGGGUGACCGGCCACAUUGGGACUGAGGUACGGCCCAGACUCCUACGGGAGGCAGCAGUGGGGAAUAUUGCACAAUGGGCGGAAGCCUGAUGCAGCAACGCCGCGUGCGGGAUGACGGCCUUCGGGUUGUAAACCGCUUUAGCCUGUGACGAAGCGUGAGUGACGGUAAUGGGUAAAGAAGCACCGGCUAACUACGUG